GACGAACGCUGGCGGCGUGCUUAACACAUGCAAGUCGAACGGAAAGGCCCUGCCUUUGUGGGGUGCUCGAGUGGCGAACGGGUGAGUAACACGUGGGUAACCUGCCCUUGACUUUGGGAUAACCCCUGGAAACUGGGGCUAAUACCGGAUAUGAGCUUCUGCUUCAUGGUGUGGGUUGGAAAGUUUCGGCGUUUGGGGAUGGACUCGCGGCUUAUCAGCUUGUUGGUGGGGUAUUGGCUUACCAAGGCUCUGACGGGUAGCCGGCCUGAGAGGGUGACCGGCCACAUUGGGACUGAGAUACGGCCCAGACUCCUACGGGAGGCAGCAGUGGGGAAUAUUGCACAAUGGGCGGAAGCCUGAUGCAGCGACGCCGCGUGAGGGAUGACGGCCUUCGGGUUGUAAACCGCUUUCGGCAGGGACGAAGCGUGAGUGACGGUAACGGGAGAAGAAGCACCGGCUAACUACGUG
rnacentral:rRNA from 1 species